rnacentral:rRNA from 1 species
AUUGAACGCUGGCGGCAGGCCUAACACAUGCAAGUCGAGCGGAUGAAGGGAGCUUGCUCCUGGAUUCAGCGGCGGACGGGUGAGUAAUGCCUAGGAAUCUGCCGGGUAGUGGGGGAUAACGUCCUGAAACGGGCGCUAAUACCGCAUACGUCCUGAAGGAGAAAGUGGGUGAUCUUCGGACCUCACGCUAUCAUAUGAGCCUAGGUCGGAUUAGCUAGUUGGUGGGGUAAAUGCCUACCAAGGCGACGAUCCGUAACUGGUCUGAGAGGAUGAUCAGUCACACUGGAACUGAGACACGGUCCAGAGUCCUACGGGAGGCAGCAGUGGGGAAUAUUGGCCGAUGGGUGAAAGCCUGCUCCAGCCAUGCCGAGUGUGUGAAGACGGUCUUAGGAUUGUAAAGCACUUUAAGUUGGGAGGACGAGCAGUAAGUUCAUACCUUGUCGUUUUGACGUUAACAACAGAAUAAGCACCGGCUAACUCCGUG